GCAAUUAUUUACUGGCUACCAUAACUUUUGCGUCAAUUGUCUUUUCACAAGCUUUAAUAUUUUCACAGGAGCUGCAGUAAAGCAAUAAAAUUUCUUUGGAGAUGUCUAAGUUUAUUAUUUUUUUAAUCUGUAUGGCUGCCUUGGUCGGUAUUGGUCACUGUGAACCGAAACUUAAUGGUUGUCCACGCUGUGGAAAUGAGGGAGAGAGUUGUUUAAUAGCUCAGUGCUGUGAUGGUUUGGCUUGCGAGCGAAAUUGGGAAUCACAAUUAAGAUGCGCUGAUCCAUCGAAAAAAUACACUUUCUCAUGAGUCUAACCUGGUGAUAGUUGAUAUUUCGCUGAGGCUAACUCGAAACUGUCAAUAUAAAUCAUGAAUUUACGUUUAAAUAAAUAAAAAUUAUAAAGUUUAUAAUUCAGCAACUACGAAACACAAUGCUGGAACGAUUUGACAAUUAUUGUUUAAAAGUGAGUCUUCUAUGUAAUGAAAAUUAAUAA